UACGUAGGGACCAAGCGUUGUUCGGAUUUACUGGGCGUAAAGGGUGCGUAGGCGGCGUGGUAAGUCACUUGUGAAAUCUCUGAGCUUAACUCAGAACGGCCAAGUGAUACUGCUGUGCUAGAGUGCAGAAGGGGCAAUCGGAAUUCUUGGUGUAGCGGUGAAAUGCGUAGAUAUCAAGAGGAACACCUGAGGUGAAGACGGGUUGCUGGGCUGACACUGACGCUGAGGCGCGAAAGCCAGGGGAGCAAACGGG
rnacentral:rRNA from 1 species